GAGUUUGAUCAUGGCUCAGGAUGAACGCCGGCGGUGUGCCUAAUACAUGCAAGUCGUACGCACUGGCCCAACUGAUUGAUGGUGCUUGCACCUGAUCGACGAUGGAUCACCAGUGAGUGGCGGACGGGUGAGUAACACGUAGGUAACCUGCCCUGUACAGGGGGAUAACAAUCAGAAAUGACUGCUAAUACCGCAUAAGACCACAGCACCGCAUGGUGCAGGGGUAAAAACUCCGGUGGUACAGGAUGGACCCGCGUCUGAUUAGCUGGUUGGUGAGGUAACGGCUCACCAAGGCGACGAUCAGUAGCCGGCUUGAGAGAGUGAACGGCCACAUUGGGACUGAGACACGGCCCAAACUCCUACGGGAGGCGAGCAGUGGGAAGUAUUAGUCACAAGUAACGGGUAACCGGGUAACCGUAGUGUCGACGACGAACCGACCGGCCGGUCGGUAGGUAGGUAAGG
rnacentral:rRNA from 1 species